UGCAGAAAAUCAGAGAAUAACUGCUGU
rnacentral:piRNA from 1 species